rnacentral:tRNA from 1 species
AGGUUAUUAGUUCAGCGGGAGAACAUUUGCCUUACAAGCAAAGGGUCAUAGGUUCGAAUCCUAUAUAACCUA